GACGGUUUGGCCGAGUGGUCUAAGGCGCCAGAUUUAGGCUUUGGUCCGAAAGGGUGUGGGUUCAAAUCCCACAGCUGUUA
rfam:Ipomoea nil DNA, scaffold: scaffold3210, cultivar: Tokyo-kokei standard.